rnacentral:rRNA from 1 species
UGGGGAAUUUUCCACAAUGGGCGAAAGCCUGACCCAGCAACGCCGCGUGAAGGAUGAAGUAUUUCGGUAUGUAAACUUCGAAAGAAUAGGAAGAAUAAAUGACGGUACUAUUUAUAAGGUCCGGCUAACUACGUGCCAGCAGCCGCGGUAAUACGUAGGGACCAAGCGUUGUUCGGAUUUACUGGGCGUAAAGGGCGCGUAGGCGGCAUGACAAGUCACUUGUGAAAUCUCUGGGCUUAACCCAGAACGGCCAAGUGAUACUGUCGCGCUAGAGUGCAGAAGGGGCAAUCGGAAUUCUUGGUGUAGCGGUGAAAUGCGUAGAUAUCAAGAGGAACACCUGAGGUGAAGACGGGUUGCUGGGCUGACACUGACGCUGAGGCGCGAAAGCCAGGGGAGCAAACGGGAUUAGAUACCCCCGUAGUCCCUGAGCGGGCUGGCAAGGCGCAU